ensembl:lncRNA
GGGUGUAGGAGACAGUGAGGAUGGAGAGUGUGUAGGAGACAAUGAGGAUGGAGAGGGUGUAGGAGACAGUGAGACUGGAGAGGGUGUAGGAGACAGUGAGACUGGAGUGAUUGUAGGAGACAGUGAGGUUGGAGAGGAUGUAGGAGUCCGUGAGGAUGGAGAGGGUGUAGGAGACGGUGAGGAUGGAGAGGGUGUAGGAGACAGUGAGGUUGGAGAGGGUGUAGGAGACAGUGAGACUGGAGAGGGUGUAGGAGACAGUGAGACUGGAGAGGGUGUAGGAGACAGUGAGUCUGGAGAGGGUGUAGGAGACAGUAAGAAUGGAGAGUGUGUAGGAGACAGUGAGGAUGGAGAAGGUGUAGGAGACAGUGAGGAUGGAGAGGGUGUUGUAGACAGUUAGACUGGAGUGAUUGUAGGAGACAAUGAGGUUGGAGAGGAUGUAGGAGUCCGUGAGGAUGGAGAGGGUGUAGGAGACAGUGAGGAUGGAGAGGGUGUAGGAGACAGUGAGGAUGGAGAGGGUGUAGGAGACAGUGAGGAUGGAGAGGGUGUAGGAGACAGUGAGGAUGGAGAGGGUGUAGGAGACAGUGAGGAUGGAGAGGGUGUAGGAGACAGUGAGGAUGGAGAGGGUGUAGGAGACAGUGAGGCUGGAGAGGGUGUAGGAGACAGUGAGGCUGAGAGGGUGUAGGAGACAGUGAGGCAUGGAGAG